UACGUAGGGUGCAAGCGUUGUCCGGAAUUAUUGGGCGUAAAGGGCUCGUAGGCGGUCCAUCGCGUCGGGAGUGAAAAGCUGGGGCUUAACCCCAGUCCUGCUUCCGAUACGGGUGGACUAGAGGUAGGUAGGGGAGAACGGAAUUCCUGGUGUAGCGGGUGAAAUGCGCAGAUAUCAGGAGGAACACCGGUGGCGAAGGCGGUUCUCUGGGCCUUACCUGACGCUGAGGAGCGAAAGCGUGGGGAGCGAACAGG
rnacentral:rRNA from 1 species